GAUGAAGAACGCAGCGAAAUGCGAUAAGUAGUGUGAAUUGCAGAAUUCAGUGAAUCAUCGAGUCUUUGAACGCACAUUGCGCCCCCUGGUAUUCCGGGGGGCAUGCCUGUCCGAGCGUCAUUGCUGCCCUCAAGCACGGCUUGUGUGUUGGGCCCCGUCCUCCGAUCCCGGGGGACGGGCCCGAAAGGCAGCGGCGGCACCGCGUCCGGUCCUCGGGCGUAUGGGGCUUUGUCACCCGCUCUGUAGGCCCGGCCGGCGCUUGCCGAUCAACCCAAAUUUUUAUCCAGGUUGACCUCGGAUCAGGUAGGGAUACCCGCUGAACUUAAGCAUAUCAAUAAGCGGAGGA
rnacentral:misc_RNA from 1 species